CUUGGAGAUGCUACUUGCUGGCAGAAUGGAGGUGAUGUGUGGUUUCAGAGACGAGCUUAGGCUGAGCGCUGUGCUUGAAACUGUUGGCUCUCUGCUAGGCUCACCGGUGGAAGGCAGGGAAGGAUGGCUUUCUCUUCCGAGAGAAGAUCUCAUUCCACAGAGGAAGGAGAGUACUAGAUGACCUCUGACCUAUGGGGCCUGCCUCCACACCAGCGGAAGAUGAAGCCUGUCACUUGAUCCCUGACCACUCAUGAUGCAAUGCAGGG
rnacentral:lncRNA from 1 species